AAAACCAAUCGGCAAACGUGGAUCUCUUUGAUGCGUAUUUCCGAAGCGCCGGUUUGGACUGCGAUGAUCGGAUUAGUGGCAAUGAAGCCGUCGCUUUCUUCCAGGGCUCCGGUCUCCCCAAACAGGUCCUUGCGCAGGGAGAAACUCGAGUGGUGAGUGUAGAUCUUGAACCGCUGUUCCGUGUAAUUUUAAGCACCGCAAAUCUUCCAUUGGCUCCAAGAUCUCUGGGAAGUUUUCAACAUUGGAGCACGAAGAGUGAUCAAGUUCCUCGAGAUAUUUCAACUUACAAAUGCUCAACAUAAUAGUUCAAGUAUUAUGUUGCAACCCCAUCUUAACCAAGGCAGAAUUUUCCUCCUGGCAACGUACUUAUCUCAUCAGCCAUUGUGCCAGUAUUUGUUGGGACCCAGUCUUCAGCUAGCCCAAGUACCCAUGUUGGUAGCCAGCCUCAGCAGGCCCAGUCAUUUGCAAAAGCAAACCAGCAGGUCUCCGACUAGUGCUACUGGAGUUUCAUCCGGAGCUGGGAACUCUGCUUCUAGUCAGUCUCAUUUGUCAUGGCCUAGGAUGACUCAAACUGAUGUUCAGAAGUACACCAGUAUUUUUGUGAAACGUGACACACACAGAGAUGGGAAAAUCACUGAUGCACAAGCCCGCGACCUAUUUCUGAAAUGGGACGACUAAGAGGUAGUACUAUUUUCUUUGUAUUCAUCUAUUGGCUUGUGUUUUACAGGCACAUAUGCCAUGUGGUUAUUGAAGCUCUUUUCUUCUGUUUGUUUCUCAUCUUGUUAGCUGUUAAUGGAACUGAUGCAUCUUUGCAAAACUUGUACUAUCCCUAUCCCGGAGUUACAGUUGUUCAUUUUUCCUCUUUUGGGUGGUGGAUGAUUGACAAUGUUUUAGUUGGUGGCAUUUAGCUUGAAUUCCUGAACAUAACAGGCUAGAUCAAGCAUAUUUUUCUGCGA